rnacentral:rRNA from 1 species
CAAUAGCGUAUAUUAAAGUUGUUGCAGUUAAAAAGCUCGUAGUUGAAUUUCUGGCGGGCGCGCCGGUCUUCCAAGUGUUGUACUGGGCGCAGUCCGCCAUCCUUGUGGAGAGGGCUCGCAUUGAGUUGCGUGUCGGAUCUGCAUCAUUUACUGUGAAAAAAUUAGAGUGUUUAAAGCGGGCUGUCGCUUGAAUACAUUAGCAUGGAAUAAUAAGAUAGGACUUCGGUCUAUUUUGUUGGUUGCGAACCGAGGUAAUGAUUAAUAGGGAUAGUUGGGGGUAUUCAUAUUUAAUUGUCAGAGGUGAAAUUCUUGGAUUUAUGAAAGAUGAACAACUGCGAAAGCAUUUACCAAGGAUGUUUUCAUUAA